rnacentral:lncRNA from 1 species
AAAUGAAGAUAUGGUACCUAUAAUUUGUUUAUUAUAUGGCAUUGACCAUGCAAUUUUGGUGUAAUUUGCUCUAGUUUAGGGUCAAUUAUAUUACCCAACAUCUAUAGAACAAUCAAAAGAAAAGCAUUGGGUAUAAACACCAAGGAGUAGUAUGUGAUAUCAUCAUUUAUUCAUAUUAUUAUAAUCUUUCCCAAGCUUUACAUUAUUGCGAUCUUAUUGCCGUAGUAUACAUAUUUAGUGAGAAUGGUGUGGGGUAAAUGAAGGAAAAUAAACAGCUUCAAGCUCUCUUAAACAUGACUUUCAAGGGCACAUCACUAAGAGCUAG